rnacentral:rRNA from 1 species
UACGUAGGGUGCGAGCGUUAAUCGGAAUUACUGGGCGUAAAGCGUGCGCAGGCGGUUUUGUAAGUCAGAUGUGAAAUCCCCAGGCUCAACCUGGGAACUGCGUCCGAUACUGGAUGGCUUGAAUUCGGGAGAGGGAUGCAGAAUUCCAGGUGUAGCGGUGAAAUGCGCAGAUAUCAGGAGGAACACCGAUGGCGAAGGCAGGUCUCUGGGCAUUAACUGACGCUGAGGAGCGAAAGCAUGGGGAGCGAACAGG